AUUAAAAAAGUAAGCUUGGAAACUAAAGUGGAGUGUUGUAGAUGAAUUUUUUUUUCUUUUUUUCCUUUCCUCUC
rnacentral:ribozyme from 1 species